AUGUUGGUCCUUUUUAUAGAUCUUGCCAUCUUUGUUUGCAAGGUGACCAGUCAUUUAAAGUAUUUGAGAAUCCUGAAGGGAAGCACAUGGCAAAGCCAUAAUUACCUUUUAGUUAUAUUUCAAGUUGUAGGAAAGUUGGAAUCAAUUUGGAAAGCAUCUUUCUAUUGCAGAUAUUUUAUUAGUGGCUUGAAGACUUACACUCCGUUUGAUGUUAUAGAAAUAGUGAGGUUAUGCCACAAUGCUGAUAGACUUGGUACUUGUAGGAUGGAGAGGAGAAGACUGAAAAGGAUGUUGAUAUGA
rnacentral:rRNA from 1 species